GAGAAACCGUCUGAACCAUGAUCACAUCUAUAAUCCUUCCAGACCUGUCAGAGAGAGUGGGAAAAAAACAGGGAAGAUGAAGACGCUACUCAACAAACCUCCAUACACAAGGCGUUCAAAAAGAACUCCACUUGACGACUGCCACUGUUCACAGGUCACUUCAUCCCACUGCCCUUUUCUCUCGAAAGACAUUUACCUGCCCACAUGACUGUGCGGCUGCAUUUCUCAGCACACCAACAAGACACGGAGGAGGCUGGAUGGAUACCGGUCAACAACCUCAGUGGGUUCUGGAAGCAUACAAGACAGCAUGCGAGCAGCAUUGGCUCUAUGUGCGUCUCAACAAAGUACAGUUUGAAAACCAUCGAUCAGGAGGAACUCUCAGCAGUGUUUACCCAUCACGCCUCCUGUUAUUUUCCCAAAAACUGCUUUGAGUUGAGCAGGAGUGAUGCAUGAUUUUGAAGGCUCUUCUGAUUCGAGCCGCCAUAUGGACGUACUGUAUAUGUGCAAAGAAAACACUCCUAAAGGAAGCCGAAUGGCAAAGUAUUGAUGGAAUACAGAGAGAAAGCAAUACAUGCAAUGAUGGAGAGCAGGAUCAAAAGACAUGUGCAAAAUGAGCAUCAUGUAAGCCGUCUUUUGCUUCUAGUUUAUUGCAUUCAUAUUCUACAGCUCUAUUGAGCUUUUCCCCCCACAGUCUGUCACCGGUUCAAAUACACAGCAUUUUUAUUGAGCAAGUGUGUUUUUCAGGGGGUGGUUUUGGUGUGUUUUAAAGGCAAUCUACAACUCUGUUCCAGAAUAGCAUGUGAAAUGAAGCUCACCAUCGAAGAUUAUGCGGACCAUACCGGCAGUCAAUUGGCACAGGGUGUAUGGGUCUUUUGUGUGGCGCCUGGCAGCAUUUUAGAUUGUUUGCCUGCCAGGAAAUGACAGAUUGGGUUUGAACAGUGGGAUUCCCUCCCCAUCAGAGUUUCUUAAAGACUUUGGCGUGGGAUAAGCUGAAAAAAAAAAAAAGAUUGAAAUUGCACUAGCAUAUUAGGGCAAUCCAUUAAAAUGGUAUUUUUGUUGGGGGGGUGGGGGUGGCUUUGAUGGAGAAAGCUGGGAAAAAGUGCUACAUACAGUACAUAAACAAGGCGUGACAUCCUUGGAAAUUAUAGAGAAAUGUCAUUGGAUUUUGAAAGGACAUUUACACACAUAUUUGCACACAUGUUUGACGGUUUAGCUGUGAUUAGAGAGUGUUUUGGUCUCGGCUGCAGGCUGAGUAAAUGGGAGAGUGAGGCCUCCUGCAGCUCUUCAGAGUUAUAAUCACCCAUCAGCAGGACUCGGGGAGAAAUAAGGAGGGUGGAAAUACGGGGCUGUUCUCGCAAACAGCUUCAGAGUUAAUUACCUCUGGAUGCACUGUCCUGAAGUUUGGCUUGCAAUAACCAUUUUCACUCCUAAUACAUGUAUUCCUCAGAUGUUC
ensembl:lncRNA